rnacentral:rRNA from 1 species
AUGAACGCUGGCGGCGUGCCUAACACAUGCAAGUCGAACGGAGAUUUAACGCUGAUGAGGCUUCGGCGGAUUCUUGUUAAAUCUUAGUGGCGGACGGGUGAGUAACGCGUGGGCAACCUGCCUCAUACUGGGGGAUAACAGCUGGAAACGACUGUUAAUACCGCAUAAGCGCACAGCAUCGCAUGAUGCAGUGUGAAAAAACUCCGGUGGUAUGAGAUGGGCCCGCGUCAGAUUAGCCAGUUGGCAGGGUAACGGCCUACCAAAGCAACGAUCUGUAGCCGGCCUGAGAGGGCGGACGGCCACAUUGGGACUGAGACACGGCCCAAACUCCUACGGGAGGCAGCAGUGGGGGAUAUUGCACAAUGGAGGAAACUCUGAUGCAGCGACGCCGCCGUGAGUGAAGAAGUAUUUCGGUAUGUAAAGCUCUAUCAGCAGGGAAGAAAGGCUCGUAAGAGAGAUGACGGUACCUGACUAAGAAGCCCCGGCUAACUACGUGCCAGCCGCCGC